GACGUAGGGCGCGAGCGUUGUCCGGAUUUAUUGGGCGUAAAGAGCUCGUAGGCGGCUUGUCGCGUCGAAUGUGAAAUCUCGGGGCUCAACUCCGAGCUUGCAUUCGAUACGGGCAGGCUAGAGUUCGGUAGGGGAGACUGGAAUUCCUGGUGUAGCGGUGAAAUGCGCAGAUAUCAGGAGGAACACCGGUGGCGAAGGCGGGUCUCUGGGCCGAUAUUGACGCUGAGGUGCGAAAGCGUGGGGAGCAAACAGG
rnacentral:rRNA from 1 species